rnacentral:rRNA from 1 species
CCCUUAGACGUUCUGGGCCGCACGCGCGCUACACUGACACAGGCAACGAGCUUUCCUUUACCGAAAGGUAUGGGUAAUCUUUUGAAACUGUGUCGUGCUGGGGAUAGAUCCUUGCAAUUUUUGAUCUUAGACGAGGAAUUCCUAGUAAGCGCGAGUCAUCAACUCGCGUUGAUUACGUCCCUGCCCUUUGUACACACCGCCCGUCGCUACUACCGAUUGAAUGGCUUAGUGAGGCCUCAGGAUCCGCGCUUAAUGUGUGGAGAAUUUGGACAAACUACGUCAUUUAGAGGAAGUAAAAGUCGUAACA